GGAAGCCAUCCGGACUGGUAACCCUCCUGCUGUGACCCUCCUGCUCCCAGGACACCUUCCAGCAGGCGGGACUUCCGCACCCAGCACAUUCCCACGCCCUGGGACCUCAGGUGCUGAUGAAAUUGACACGGUGUGUGGAGCAGGUGGCCCGUGCCAGGUUUGGAGCAGAGAAAGACUGUACCAGGUGCUGGAUCUUAAGGGGUCCCCUCUCAGGCCUGGCAUGGCCUCCAGCAGAUGCUCAGGCCAGGAUGCUAAGUACCCCCGCCCCAUGCAGUCCAACUCGUCCGCUCCUGCGAAGUUUGGACAUUCAUUCAGGUCUCUCCGUUUGCCCUUGCCCGUCCUGGUGCAGGCCUCUGUCUCUGCUGCCUGGAUGCCAGGGUUGAUGGCUGCCUGACUGCUCUUCCUGUUGUGCAUUCCCAAGUGCCGAGCCCACCCAGCAGGCGAGAGCAAGCAUCCUCAAAGGACCCCACGGGCACACUGCCCUGCAGAAAGUCCCGCCUCCGGGGCUUCCUUGAUCUGGAAGCCAGGACUCCAAGCCACGCUGGUUGGACUCUACCUCCCCUGCAAAUCCCCUCCCCCGGCUGUCCAGUCCCUGUCCUUGAGAUGCCCUUCCCUGCCCUUGGUUGUCUGCAGGGCUGGCUGCUCAGUUCCCUGCUCAUCCGGGUUAAGUGGGUCUCCCUGAUGGUCCUGACCUCCGCCCCGUCAGAGCACUCGUCCCACUUGGCAGUUAUUUUGUCUGCUUCACUUGCUGCCCGUCUGCCCCUCCGGAGACAAGGUUCUCCAGCUGUUCCUAGAGCCCAGCCCAGGGCCCGCAUCUGUGGCAAAGCCACCCUGCAGUGGCUCGCAGCACCCUCCCCUCUCCCGCUUGCGUGGGAUAACCUGUGCGUUAUCUCAUCAUCUAUCGACCUCUAAUAAGCAGGGCUAUUUUUAGAAAAGGUGAAAGCAACACUCUAACCUCUCAGAGGAUUUUCCACUCCCACCUGCCUUUCUACUACAACUUGGUUUCCUGUGGUGGUUGCGGAGGCUGCCACACUGGCCAGCUUUGUUAUUCUGGGGUACAGAGGGGGCUUCAAAAGAAACCCAGGCCCCGCUUCUUCCUCCUACAAACAAGAUACUUAGCAGCAGCUCCUGGCAGACAGAGGGAAGUAUGGGAUGAAACCUUAGGCUCCUCACUUGCUGUGUUACCCUAGGCGGGUCACUUUCCAUCUCUGUGCUUCCGUUACCCAUCUGUAAGAGGAGGCCCUUGGCAGGUGUGUUGGUUUGGGGCUUAUUUUGCAAGGGGAACAAUAUAAUACACGACACAUACUCUAUAUGAUUAUUUAUAAGUCACCCAAAGAACAAGAUACAAAAGAGUGCAGGGCAUCUGACCACACACUAAGACCAGGGAAUCCAGCUGAGGGCCUGGAUCCCACAAUAAUGUCCUACAUGAGUUGAGCUGAAUACCCAGAGCUCA